AUUUACAUUUCCACCAACGGUGUGUAAGUUCCCUUUUCUCCACUUCCUUGCCAGCAUCUGUUGUUUUUGUCUUUAUAGUAAGAGCUAUUCUCACUGAUGUAGGAUGGUGCCUCAUUGUGGAUUUAAUCUGCAUUUCUCUUUGUUGGUUUAGAGGAGACACGUCAUGUGGAAUCAAUCUUACAAUUCACUUGGAAUCUUCUCUCAGAUGGAAGAUGCCAGUCAUUGAAUAGUCCGACGUGAAGCAAAAGGUGAAGGCCGGAUUUCUUGCCCUGAGCUUCCUGCAGAUCGUGAUGCAAGGCCUGUCCGACAUCAGUUCUACAUUCCAGCCUCCUUUCCUCCCGGGAAAUCAGAGGGAUUGGAGACACAUUGAAGAGAAAAGAGAAGGAAAGGAGAAGAAGAGAAGGACCUCCACGAAGAGUGUGGAAGGGGAUUCCAGAAAGCUGGAAAUCCAGCGCAGGUGAGAGAGCACGGACUUUUAUCCUGGGAGAAACCCCCACCUUCUCCAAGACCCUGGGCCAAUGAAGGGAGUUCCUCAGAACUUCCGCCGGAGUGAGUGACGUUUAGUUUCUUCCUGUGCCCGCAAAAUUCAAACAUAAACCGUUGAAUCUCCCAGAUGGAGAGAGAUGGGAGGGGAUCAUGGCGCCAGGGAAAUUCUUGCCCUUAAAGCUACACCCCAUCAUGGACCCGGAAAGAGAACACAUUCCCUCAGGGGUCCCGCUGCGCUUUGCAGGGUCUCCAGGGUGGCAUUCCACAGUCACGGGGAAACACUGUGGGAGUCCAGCUGCAGCACAAUCUUCAUAGAAGAGCUCUACAGAGGCCCAGCUCCUCCAGCACAUCCCACAGUUCUCAGAUAGCGCAAACCAACUCUGUCAGGAGGGAGGUCGGGAUGCCAGAGAGCUUUCCAGAGGCUGAUGAGUGCAGACUCACCUCACCUCACCUCUGCCUGCCACUUUGCACAGCUGAGAGAAGGCAAAAGAGCCCUCAGCCGACUUUGGCAACUCUCGUGGACAGCAGGGGAGCAGCCUGAGGUGGGACAGCUGUUUCUCUGCACGAGGUCCCUGUGCAGGACUCCGAGCUCAGCAGCUUCAGCUCCAUUGCCAGGGACAAUGGAAGGGACCAGUGGUGUCCAGCCUGGGUGCCCAGGAAAGGCAAGGGUAGCUCUGUAGACCCACUGCAGUGAGGGCGGCUGCAUCCCAUCUCCUGGACAAAUGCAGGUGAAUUCAGGCACUUCAGGCAGCUGUGAGAUAAGGCCCUGGUCUUUCAGGCCCCUAGUGGACCAAAGUCCUUUCUAACAGAGGUGGACAUGUGUUCUUCACAAAUCCUUCUCGCCCUCUCCCUCCCGUCAUUGUCAAAGCUCAGGUGCCCCAGGUAAGAAGCCGUGCUCUGAGCACAGUCUGCAGCAGCCCAUGGCCUCGCUUCCAACAGCUGCUCCCAGGACACUGUGUAGGCCUGGUGGGCUUCCAUCUGUCCCCAGGUCCCAGUGACCGUGACUACACAAGGCCACUAAGGCCUCCCUCUGAAGGCAAAACUCCCAGGAAAAUGAGUGUAUCAUCGUAGGGUCACUGGAGAAGCUGGCGUCGACGGGCCUGGGAACAGAUGGAAGCCCAUGAGGCCUCCAUGGUGUCCUGGUAGCACCUGGUGGAAGUGACGCCCACGUGCUGCUUCGGCCCAUGGCCAGGUCAGGCCAGGUCCCACCUCAGGGCAGCGUCCCCAUGAAUGUCUGUGGUCACCUACUCUCAGCCAACAAGAAAAGAAACAGCACCACCUGGGGCAGAAGAGGCUACCCAGGAACGAGUCCACCAGACCACAUCUGAAUUCCAGCAUCCCCUCCACGCGCGGGGCAGUCCACCUUCCAGAGCCCUGCUUCUCUCAGGGCAGCGCUUCCCCCGGCAACACCCCACAAUAGGGAGUGGGGAUGUGGAGUUGAAGCCGACCUGGAAGAAGCACCAGGGCCCUGGUGCCACACAGUGACUCCAGUGCCUGUGAGCAGUGGGCGUGGGGGGCCCCUCCUGUGCCUGUGAGCAAUG